rnacentral:rRNA from 1 species
AAUGAACGCUGGCGGCAGGCCUAAAACAUGCAAGUCGAGCGCCCUAGCAAUAGGGAGCGGCGCACGGGUGAGUAACACGUGGGAAUAUGCCUUUUGGUACGGAACAACCUCGGGAAACUGAGGCUAAUACCGUAUGGUCCCUUCGGGGUAAAGAUUUAUCGCCAAAAGAGUAGCCCGCGUUGGAUUAGCUAGUUGGUAAGGUAACGGCUUACCAAGGCGACGAUCCAUAGCUGGUCUGAGAGGACGAUCAGCCACACUGGGACUGAGACACGGCCCAGACUCCUACGGGAGGCAGCAGUUAGGAAUAUUGGACAAUGGGCGCAAGCCUGAUCCAGCCAUGCCGCGUGAGUGAUGAAGGCCUCGGUUGUAAAG